rnacentral:rRNA from 1 species
GGGGGGGCGAGCGUUGUUCGGAAUUAUUGGGCGUAAAGGGCACGUAGGCGGUCUGGCAAGUCUGGUGUGAAAGCCCUCGGCUCAACCGAGGAACUGCACCAGAAACUGCCGGACUAGAGUUCGGGAGAGGAGAGUGGAAUUCCCAGUGUAGCGGUGAAAUGCGUAGAUAUUGGGAGGAACACCUGUGGCGAAGGCGGCUCUCUGGACCGAUACUGACGCUGAGGUGCGAAAGCGUGGGGAGCAAACAGGGAUUAGAUACCCUGGUAGUCCACGCUGUAAACGUUGGGUACUUGGUGUAGCGGGUAUCGACCCCUGCUGUGCCGAAGCUAACGCAUUAAGUACCCCGCCUGGGGGAGUACGGUCGCAAGGCUG